GUGAGAAGGAUUACUUUAUCCUAUCCUAGGUAUUCCUGAAAGAGGUGGGGUUUCAGGUGUCUCCGGAAGGUGGUGAUUGACUCCGCUGUCCUGGCAUCGUGAGGGAGACAAGCAGGUGUCCACAUGCUUUUGGCCAAGUAAUGUAUCUAUCUCUAUUGAUCUACCCUAUGCUUACCUACCUAUCCUCUACCUACCUAGUAAGAUGUACGCUUGUAUCGAUCUGCUUCAGAGUCUGAGUCGGUCCGUGUUGCAAACCUGUCUGGUUCUUUGUGCCUUUCUUCUUAACGGGCUUGAACUCCAAAAAUGUUUUGUGCAGCUUUGUUUAGCUGGGGGUCCGUUGUGAUUGCAGUAUAUUCUUUAUGUUAAGGGAAGAGUUUUCAGAAGUCUCACUGAUUAUGUUGUACUUUUUAAGAUUAGUUAUGGUUCUGUUGCCGAAGCUUUGUGAUUGUGAUUCUGUACUGAAAAAGAUGAAGGCUGAAUUCUAUUGUUUGCUUUACUUUAACCUCCACCCCGUUCUUUACCUUGGUCUGGGUGGGGUGUCUCCACCUUGGUCUGGGUGGGGUGUCUCCACCUUGGUCUGGGUGGGGUGUCUCCACCUUGGUCUGGGUGGGGUGUCUCCACCUUGGUCUGGGUGGGGUGUCUCCACCUUGGUCUGGGUGGGGUGUCUCUACCUUGGUCUGGGUGGGGUGUCUCCACCUUGGUCUGGGUGGGGUGUCUCCACCUUGGUCUGGGUGGGGUGUCUCCACCUUGGUCUGGGUGGGGUGUCUCCACCUUGGUCUGGGUGGGGUGUCUCCACCUUGGUCUGGGUGGGGUGUCUCCACCUUGGUCUGGGUGGGGUGUCUCCACCUUGGUCUGGGUGGGGUGUCUCCACCCCGUUCUUUACCUUGGUCUGGGUGGGGUGUCUCCGCCUUGGUCUGGGUGGGGUGUCUCCGCCUUGGUCUGGGUGGGGUGUCUCCACCUUGGUCUGGGUGGGGUGUCUCCACCUUGGUCUGGGUGGGGUGUCUCCACCUUGGUCUGGGUGGGGUGUCUCCACCUUGGUCUGGGUGGGGUGUCUCCACCUUGGUCUGGGUGGGGUGUCUCCACCUUGGUCUGGGUGGGGUGUCUCCACCUUGGUCUGGGUGGGGUGUCUCCACCUUGGUCUGGGUGGGGUGUCUCCACCUUGGUCUGGGUGGGGUGUCUCCACCUUGGUCUGGGUGGGGUGUCUCCACCUUGUUCUUUUUGCCUUUUAUUUAUUUUUAUUUUUUUUAAUGUUUUGUGCAAAAAAUAUGUUUUAUUGUCAAAUUAAUGUUAUGUUUCUAUCUAAUAUUAAUCUUGAAUAAGACUUGUUGCCAUGAAUUGAAAUACUCUUAUGUUUUGAGCAGUAGAAAAUCUUUCAUUCACGCUAAAAAGAAAAAAUAUUACGUUUCAUGUAUUUUCGGUUGGCUGUGUUUUUGAGGUUAGCAUCAGUAACUCAACCAGGCAGAAGUUUAAACCAACCCUUCAGGUCUGUUUUUGAGGGUAGUAUUGGUAACUAAACCAGGUUAUAGUAGGGAGAGGUUUAAACCAACCCUUCAGGUCUGUUUUUGAGGUCUGUCAUGCCGGAGAACAAACCAUUUCUGCUAAUGUUGAAGAUGACUGCCAUUUAUUAAAAAACAAUAUCAAUCUUGUUAUUUUGCAUCUUUGCCAUGUAACCUAUGAAAUAAAUACACUGUAUCCUA